GGACCCUCAGACACAAAAGUUCAGUCCAACAGACGGAGAGCAGAGUCUCCAGCAUCCAUCUGUCUGUCAAUGAAGAGUGACUGGUCCAAAGAUUUUAUUGUGACCUUCAGUGAUGAACCUGGACCCUCAGACACAAAAGAGAGGAAGAGGAGUCAUGUUCCUGUGGAGGAGCAGCGGUCCUGCUGUGUUUGGUGUCAGGACGUCCUGAAGGAUCCGGUCUCUACCAGCUGUGGACACUGGUUCUGCAGACACUGCAUCACCUCAUACUGGGACCAGUCUGCUUCAUCAGGAGACUCCUCCUGUCCCCAGUGUGGAGAAAGAUCCAGAACAAGACGUGGACUGCAGACAGCCAGUCAGACCAGCACUGUCCAAAGUAAGACUGUCCAUCUUUACAAUGUGACCUGCUGCAUUUCAUCACAUUAUGUUUAUUUAGAUACUUACAGUGAGUUCAUUCAGCCAUGUGGAAACAACCCAAAAACUGAAGAAUCAUCAAAG